CAAGCUCUUAUGUGCUGAUGUGUC
rnacentral:siRNA from 1 species